GGAAGCGGGCGGCCCCAUUUGGUAGCACGUGAGGCGGGGAGAUCCCUGGCCUUUCCACGGCCCAUCCCCGGGAUAGAUCUCCCGAUGUCGAUAGGUCUGGGAGUAAACCCUCGACUGGCUCGCUCUCCCUGCGACCGGUGGCGACGGCCUCCGCCUCCAGCCUCCACCUCCGUUCGGUGCAUCUCCGUCCGACGACCGGAUAGCGCCGCCCCCCGCGCCCUCCCUCAAGAGAACCGCCUCCACAGUCCGUCCCUCCGGCAGCAGCGACGGCGACGGACCGGGCGUCAUCCAUCUCCCCUCUGCCUCAAAGCUUCUAUCACCUCCGGCGACGACGAUGGCCAAGAGGUCACCCUCCUUUCACCAAGGCGCUGUAUCAUGAGCUAGCAGAGUAUGUGCAUCUGUGCUCCUGCCGCUCCACUUCCAGGUGAUGGCGUCGGGUUGGUCAGAGAGGGUGAAGCUCUCAAGUUCCCGCCAAAGUAUCAGGUUUCCUAAAGAUAGCAAAUAAAAAUGUUCAAAGAAGUUGAUGCUGGAAGUUUCAGUAAAGUAUCUAUUUCAACAGCAAAACUUUUUGCUAUGGACGUGUCACAUAUGGGCAUUUUUUUAAUGGAGCUAAAUGCUUAUUCUUGCUGGAUUUUUAACCGUAGUUAGUAUUUAAAAAAACAUGAUUAGCACAAUAAAUUUUAUCCUCAGUAGUGUUGUGUAAUUUGUGCGACUCGACCGCAUAACUUAUUGUUAGCAUGUAAUUGGGUUGAAGUGUUAAUUUGCUGAUUAUGUGUGUAUUAUUAUUUUCUCCAAAAAAAUCCUGAAUUAUUCUCUAUCUUCC